rnacentral:lncRNA from 1 species
GAGGUGCAUCCUAGGUCGUUGCUGUAGGGUUCUUAGUGCACAGUGAUCUAGAACAUGAUGUUUGUUGCCUUUAGAGUCCGGAUCACCAUAAACUUUUGCAGAGGACUUUGUCAUAAGUCUCCUUAGGUCUAAGUAGGUGCACGGUAGUCUUAACAUAGUAGCCUCUAACACUGGGGGCCAAAUGAAUCCUGGAAUGGACGUGACCAAUACUGACGGGCGAUAUAUGGGGUCCACAAUGGCACCAUUGACACAAGAAUUGAACAGGUUAGGUUUUGUUCUAA